GUCCAUGUAGUAUAACAAUUACAUCGGUCUUGUAAGCCGAAAAAGGGAACAAAACUCCCCAUAGACU
rnacentral:tRNA from 1 species